rnacentral:tRNA from 1 species
GGGUGUGUAGCCCGGCCGGAGAGUACUUCGUUGAUAUCGUAGGGUCACGGGUUCAAUCCCUGUCACGCCUACCA